UACGAGGGGUGCAAGCGUUAUUCGGAAUUAUUGGGCGUAAAGGGUGCGCAGGCGGCAUAUUAAGUCAACUGUUAAAUUCUCCGGCCUAACUGGAGGUCAGCGGUAGAUACUGAUAUGCUAGAGGGUGGAAGAGAGAAGUGGAAUUCUUGGAGUAGCGGUAAAAUGCGUAGAUCUCAAGAGGAACACCAAUGGCGAAGGCAGCUUCUUGGUCCAUUUCUGACGCUAAUGCACGAAAGCGUGGGGAGCAAACAGG
rnacentral:misc_RNA from 1 species